CCCUGAAGAUUAAAAACUUAACAAAAUCACAGGAAAACAAAUGAUGCUUUGGUUUUAGCUGAGGAGUAGGAUGUCUAAUAUGAGCUCUAGUGAUGCGCUUGAUAAUCUGUUUUCAGGUUUUCCAGAAGAUGAAGUUACAUGUGCAGGAAGAUGUUUGAAUAUGAAAACAAGGCUUGGGGAUGUCUCUCGGUUCACGCUCUCUUCCUCUGUUAAUGAGCAUUUGCUUAGAAACGCAAACAUUUCUCAGCUCCUUUCUUAAAACAUUAUUUGCAAGUAGCUUUCUUAAACAUACAUGCUGGAAUCUUCAGGAAUGAAGCUGUACCUCUUAACCUGGAGAUUACUCCUACUUAUGUUGACUUAACAUUGCUUUUAUUUUUAGGGUAAACUGUGAAAAGCUCAGGACAACCGAUCCUCAGCUGCCCUGAUGCUUUCAUCUGGGGUGGAAUCUCUCCUUGAUUCUUCGGGGUCUGCUGGAAUAGAGGAGGCAUACCCUGGGCUGCUCACGAGCAUCUCCACGGAACUUAUGGCUGUGUCGGAGCCUAAGGUUGGGUUAAGUGCAAAGCCUGGUGUGUCAGUGCCUGUGCUGGCACACAGCAGCGGUCUGUCAGUGGAGCAUCGCGCAACACCAGCAGUAGAGAACUUCGGCCAAGAUUUGGAUGAUGUGCUCCAGGUGAUUUCUCAUGGGCCAGCACAAUCCCUUGAUGAAGAAUUAGUGAAGUCUGGAGACCUUGAACAGGACGAAAAAGGCAAAAAAAAGAACUUCAGGAGACUAGACUUUUCUAGUGAGAGAUAUCAGAGAGGUGGCGAAGAGGCACAAGAUGCUGAGGAGUAUCCUGCUGAAUGCUGGACUCCAGCUCCUGGGCGAAGCUUGGCAAAACAAGAGGACCUUCACUUAAACCAGCAUGAAUUUAAGCCUUUGGGAACCUGUUGCACCGAAGUAGUGGGAUCUCUGAAGAACACAGAAGAAAACCAAGCACAUGUUCAGAUGACGGCUGAAACUCUGCCAAAGCUCACUGAAGAAGUACAAGGUAUGAAGGCUGAUGGGACUAGGAUAUUUAGUAAAGCAGGAUACAGGAAUGACCGAGUGAGUAAAGGUCUUCCACCUGAGAGCAGUGAAUGCCCAGAAGUCGUGGCCAGAGCUGGGGUUUCAGAAACCAGCUCGUUAGAUUUUUCAGAGCCUUUGAAAGUCACGGACAUUGAAUCAACCACAGAGAAUGCACAAGAAACAAAUGAGUACAGUGGGUUGAAAUCCCAUACUGCUAUGCCAUUGGGAACAGGGGGUAACGUUGCAUCUGGUUUGGAGACUAGAGAAGAAGAGUUACCCAGAGGAAAUCCUGAUAAUGAGUGCAGUAUAUCACUUGCUAAUUGCCAGACUUAUCAGCAGGGUGAAGAAAACAAUGCUCAUGACUUCUGCACUGGUCCUGUACCUAAACAUAACGAACCUCAUAGGUUGUCAUCAAUAGAAAGCUGUAGAACACUCUCCACAAAAAAUUCCAAAGUUUUAUGUUCGGUUCUGAAAAUCAUCUGUCCUCAGGACUUCAGAAAUACACCACCAGAAAACAAUAGUACUGCAGCCCAUGGAAUUAGCAAUGAACCCCCCCAAAACAUGGAAACUCAGACUCAUUAUGAUCAUGGAACUGGGUUUGGAGAAAAUCGACCCUCCACAUCUAAACCAACAGAGCAGCUUUCGGUGGUAAGGAGCAAAGGAUUAUCUAGUGCUAAAUCUGACACUAGGGAAGGAAGUGCUAGUGUAGGUAAAUCAUACAGCUCUGAAUUUGAAGAGGCUGCUGAAGGCUGGAGAAAAAUUGCUGUAGGAGAUGACGUUGAAAUUUGUAGCUGUCCUGAAGGUCAAGAGGGUGCUAAUUCUGAGCAUUGUCAUUCUUCAGUUUUUAGUUCUGUUGCUUCAUCUCCUGAGGAGUUCUCAAAAGAAAGAUUUAAAAUGGCCCCAUCAGAUGGUGGUAAGUUGAACAAGGACCAGUGGCAGCUCUUUGUCAGUGAUCUAUGCAAGGAUGAUGUGAAAGAAAAUAGUCUAUUGAUGGAAAGGAGCACCACUGCUUCCCAUGAAAUUGGACAGAUAGACAUAUGCUUUUAUAAUCCCUCCAGUAAAAUUUCUCCUCCCAGUAGCCACAGCUGUCUGGAUAUUAGUACCAAGCUAAAAAAAGGUUCAUCUGAGGCACAACCACUUGAAAAGGAAUGUGAGAGUAAUACAACAGCUGAAGAGUUGGCUGGCAGUUUAGUUGAAGCUACAGAAGCUAAUAGUAAUGACAGUUUCUCCACUGGCAAAGAAACUAAUUUGAUUUAUACACUAAAUGUAACUCUACCUCCUGUUCCACAAAAAUCAAGAGAACCUCAUCAUAAUGAGUAUCUUCCUUGUACUGCUAAUGAAGUUUCAAGCAGGGACAAGGCUCAGGAUAAUCUAUCUGGAAAAGAAUUAAUUGGUGCUUCUGGAACAACAGGGGAGCAAGUCACUAAAACUGCACUUGAUAAAGACAAAUUCAAGUCUUCACUAAGUUCCAGGACUUCUGAGGUCCCUAAUGUGACAAGCAAAACUUCCCAAAAGAACAUGAAGUCUUCAGUGGGAAAUACACAGAGCAUGGUCACUAGUUUAGAAAAUGAACAUAGUGACACAUGGAAUUGUAAUAAUCAGAGUAUGAAAGACCAGUGUACAGCUGCCAGUGCUUCCUGUCUUUUAUCAGGGAGUACACGUGGAGAUGAUGUUCUCCUGAACAGUCAUUCCCUUAAUGUUGAGGUCAAUAAGAAGAUUGAGGAAAAUGAUAAUUUGGAAGGAGAAGCUUCAGCUUCAAAGGCACUCAUCUUUCCAAAAGCACGCUUCCCUUUGGCAUGUGAGUCUCUUCCUUGUGAAGAUGUCUGGGGCAGCAGAGGUGUAGAUCUGUAUGGGAUAAAUGACAUUUCCACAGCAAAGCCCACAUUUUGCUCAGCUUACGCUGCAGAGAAGUCUGUUGCUACCUUGGUAAGAAACGAGGUUCCAAAUAAGAAUAUGGAGGUUUUGAAACGAUUUGAUCUUUGUAAAGUAACAGAUGGCAGUGAAAUUGUUUGUGGCAGAGAUGAGGCAAAAGAACAAACCGGCGUGUGUGCUCUCCAGACAGAUGAAUUUGAUAGAAUAAGAACUGUGGAUUCUUCAAAGGCUCCUAAAGGCAAUCAGAGAAAUAAAACUAGAGAACAGCUAUUAGUCAGAGAUUUGAACAAAAAAACCUGUGUUCAUAAUUUUGGAUUUUGCAACUCUCCAUUAGGCCCAAAGAAGAGAGAACCGGGUGCAUGUGAGGAGGAAGAAGUGUCAUCGCUCACAGCUAAUCCCUCCGAGUACAGCGCUUCACUCUGUGGGACGUGUCCGUUACUCAGCAACAGGAAUGUUCAAGCAGAGAAGACCCUUCAUCCAAUGGAAAAUCAGUGUCUUGCAUGUCAGAGUGAGUUUGACGGCCCGAUUCCAGGCAGCAAGCAACAUUUAGAAAGUUUAAAUAAACCACCGAACACUGGCUUACAAACUAUGGCUAGUUCUGUGGAAGAAACCAAAAUAUCGAUUGGCUCUAGUCAGAGUGAAGAGAUAAUGUUAAAAACAGGUGACGACCUGCCUCCAGUAACCCAUAAGUAUGCAAGAGAAGACAGUUUUCAAGGAACUCUGAAAGAGAGUGUGAUGGAUUUGGACUCUUUAAAUGGUGAGAGAAAUGAACGCCAUUCAGGAGACAUGGGCUUUGUCAGUGAUCUAACUGAAGAGAAGACAAUCGAACAAAAAGAACACAAGAACAGAUGUGAAAGAGAAGAUAAUGGAAGUCUUGAACAAAGCUUUCCUGAUAGCAAAUCACACUGUUCACAGCAUGCUUGCUUUAUCAAAUGUGCAAAAGAGAAAGCAGAGCCAGUGCUUGCAGGAAACAAAAUGCAGCAAUCUUUGCCAAAGGUGAAGUCAUCAGUGGAGGAUCAGGAAAACCCAGUUAGUGCCCAGUUUUUGCCCUUUUCAUCAAUUCCUGGGAGUCUGUCAUAUAAGCCAGAAAGUAUGAAUGUGCUUUCAGAGACAGAAAACAAGAGUCUGAGAAUAAAAUCUAUCUUAAGUAACUCUUGCCCACAGUUAACAUUUCAGCCUUGUAAAGAAACUGACACUCAAAAGGGUAUUGCUGCAUCCCAUUUCAGAAAGUUUGACACCCAAGAAUCUUAUGAGACUGAGGUGGAUUCAGAAACACCAUCAGCUCUGAAUGUGGGAAUCUCUUUGCCUAAGAAAGAAAAGCUGUGUCUGUUAUCUGGGAAUACACAAAUGGAUAACUGUGAUUCAUCUGCAGCUGAAGCUUUUAGCAAAGAUUCUUCAGUGACAAAGCCUCUUUCUGUAACAAUGUCUGAUAAGAGAAAAGCCAACAAUACUGAGGUCCCAUUGUCAGAUAAUGAAGCCGCAACCAGCUUUCUGAAUGGUGCAAAAUGCUCAAGAGUUUGUGCCUACAACAAAGAAAGUCUGAGAGGUGAGGGGCAUAGCAUGCUAAGUGUAAAAGACAUGGAUGUGAUCCAACCAAAAAGUACUCACUGUAGAGAGAAGUUUAAGAAUACGUGUAUAGAGGAGAAGAUGGGAAGAGAAGUAGCCCCUAAAAAGAACUUGCCCACAGAUUCUUUUCUUGAUGGAGAAGAUUGUCCAUGGGCCUUUUCAGAAGAUUCAAAAAAGCCUGCUAGCAAAAUAGUCCCUCUCAGUACUGAGAAUUAUGGAAAGGUUUUGGAAGAAAUCCCAAGAUCUAAUUUAAAUAAUCUUUCAAAAGAAAGAAAAAAUGAUACAAAGCUCACAAACUUAGCAGGUACCAGUGUCCUUUCAGAAACUGUGUGUGAUUGUCAAGCUGAAGCUGCGUCUGAUGCAGAAACUUCACCAGAAUUGCAGUGUAAUCCAACACCCCCAUUUUAUCCACCUAUGAUUAAUCUAUCAAACAGUUGCAAAGAAUUGCCCCCAGACUCUGUGGUUUGCAAUGAAGUAUGUGUGCCUUACAAAUUAAAUGCACAAAGCAAAGAUAAUGUAAAUUUGCUUAUAGAAGGCCAGGACGCUACACCAACUCAUUCAGUUUGCAAGGAAAAUGAGGUUUCAGGUUCAGAGAGACUUGAUCAAAUAGAGAAAUGUCAGGUACCUAAACAAAAGAAGAAGUGUAAGAAGAUGGAAGAACAUCUGUCAGACAAUGCACAACAAGAACAGAAGUCAGAAUAUCAAGAGAAAGCAAAAAUCACACUGCGACCAAGUAUGUUGCACAGUUCUGAACUGCUAUGCAGCUCUUCACAUGAGUUGGUGACAUCAAGAAAUACAAAGUUUGAAGGUACUUCAGAGGAGAUUUUUGCUGUUGGAAGCAGCGAAAAUAAACUAUAUAGCACUUUACAAGAAGUCAAAAGGCCAAAGAUUACCACAGAUGUUAUUAGUUCACAGUUUUUGAAGACUCAGGAUUCAGAAAUGCAAAACCUGAACCUUAAUUUAGGGUAUGAUGGAAUCCCUGGUGCCUUUGGAACUACAACUAAGCGAAGAGAACCUCUUCCAUUAAAGACACAGCCUGGAAGGACAUGCAAAAAAGUUCCCACAUCAUAUCAGCUAAAAGUCGUAAGAAAAUGCAAAAAAAAUAGAAGUUCACCUUUUUUUGAGAUUCCCCCAGAAAUAUUCCCUAAACAGGAAAACACACUUCUCAAGUCUUGGUACUUUCCAUGUAAACCACCGGCACCGGGAGCAGAAGCAGCCAUGAGGUGUGUGCAUAUGACAAGGCAGAGGGCCAAGAGGUGCAGUUUGUUGAACAGCUUGAGACUUAGAAAAUGUACCAAAGAACCAGCACUGUUGAGCAAGCUGUCUGCCAUGGCCAGCCAGCUCCUGGCUCCUGCCGAGAGCAGCCAUAAGGUAGAACCUCUGCCACGUUCUGCUGAACUUCUUCCAGUAGGUGAGAGGUACAGCCAACGCAGGUAUAAGAAUCUAUUGGAAGCCUUUUCUUGCAUUAACAGGAACUUACACUCACGCUGGGCUGACAGUUGGUGCACCAAGAUGUUUAGCUUUCAGCCUUUGGCACUUUAUCCUGUAGAAUCUACCAAAAUACUUUUUUCAGACUUGAGCCACAAGCCUCCAACCUCUUCCUUGGAUACCACAGUUUUCCCAAUUUCUUUUCACAUAAAAUUGGACUCCAGUCCUGUGACAGACCUCACAGGGAUGACAUCCCAGCACUCUCUACAUCAUGGACCAGUUUUGGGAGAAAUGCCAGCACCGCCUUCAAAGUGGACUUUCUCUUUUCUCCUGUCUCAGAGCUGUUCAGAUACAACAGCUUUCAAAGAAGAUUCCAGUCCAAAUAAUGAACUGCAUUCCUCUCUCUCCCUAACAACUCCAGGGGCUGUUGUCCUUCAUCGUGACCGGCGAAGAAGAGGCGGUUGCUCCAUGGCUGGCCUUCACACAGUGUUAGCAAUUUCUUCCCCUGGAUGCUACAGGAUUUGGACGAGAAGAAGAAACUUAACUAGUCAUAUUCCUACCAUCCAGAGACUAUUUAUAUCGCAGUUCACACAGGGUUUGAAAGGGGCAAGGUAUCCAUCUUCUGUAUCAGAUGACCUCGUCUCUUCAUUGCCAUACUCGCUGGGCAGGGUACUAUCCAUAUGGAGUCAGCACGGUCCUUCUGCCUGGCCUUCCGAAAUCACUCCUCUCCAUUCCAAUGACUGCAAGUGGCAGCCAAGUAUGGGCAUCGCAAACAGCUAUGCCAUCACACCGCACUUACCUAUACAGAGUAUGGAAGCACUACAGAUUGAAGGUCAUGAGAUGUGUCUGGAAACUUCAUUCCCUCUUACAUUACCAAAGCCUUGCUCACGUCUGGAAUCAUUACCAUCUCCCCCCAGGCUUCCAGCAUCUGAACUCCAGGUCCAUGCCCUUGAUGAAGGUGAUGUUUCUGUUCCAGCCUGUCUUAGAUCCCAGGAUGAGAAAGAACUGGAAAAAACUGAGCCAGAAAAGAGGCCAAAGAAAGUCUCACAAAUCCCAAUCAGGAAAACUGUUCCUAAGCCAGACCCUAAUCUUACUCCAAUGGGACUACCCAAACCAAAAAGGCUUAAGAAGAAAGAAUUUAGUUUAGAAGAAAUUUAUACAAACAAGAACUACAAGUCCCCUCCUCCAGCCAGGAGCUUGGAAACAAUCUUUGAAGAGCCCAAGGAGAAAAAUGGAUGCUUGAUCUCUGUCAGCCAGCAGAAGAGGAAGCGGAUUCUGGAGUUUCAGGACUUUACUCUUCCUCGGAAAAGGAAGAGACGAGGCAAAAUCAAAGCAGUGGGUAGUUUCACCCGGGCAAAAAAAGCUGCACUCCAGAGUGCAGAGUUAGAUGCUCUUCUGAGUCAGAAGCUAAUGGACCUUGAUGCCUUCUUUGCAAACGAGGCUGAGCAAGAGCAGGCCUCUGAGGGAGCCAUUUAGCUGAAAAUGGUCCAGUCAGCUCCUUUAGUAUUUUAGUCCUUUUGGGAGAAACCUACUGACUUCUUCAUAUGUUACUCUGCCACUCUGCUCUAAUAGCUGAUGAGCUGGUUUUGGCUGUGGCCCUCUUUAAGGUGCUAUUUUGUUUUUUCUUAAAUUAUUUUUUUUUUGUAAUGCUAUUGGAGGGAUUCUUUCAGGUCCCUGUUUGAGUGUAACACAGCCACAUCCAAUUUACCAUUCCUUCCCCAGCCCCUGGAAAUUACUGCUAAUGUUUAAUUACAUUUAAAUACCUUUUGGGGGUGGAGUAGGAGUGUAAAGGAGGAAGUAGUGCACCUUCAGUGAUGCUAGAACUCUGAACUUCAGAUCAUUUGCACAUUUGAGUCUGCUGUUGUUACUGUAAUGGCUAUUUUGAACAACCUGACAGAAGAGAUAUGAUAUUUGAUAAAGAUAAAUUCUAGCAAACACAUUCUUGAUAUACCACUAACUUUUUAAUAAUUAAAAGUAGCUGUCCAGGUUUGCUUUCAAUUGUUUAUUGCUUCCGUUUACUUAGAAGGUUCCUUCUGAGUUUCUGUGCCCUUCCUGGCUUCAGGCAGCAGAAGCCCCACAUAACUAGACUUUAAAUAACUUGCACUUUGUAUAUGUUUCUUUAUUUGCUGCAUGAGGACAAAUUUUAACAUGAGCUCAAAAAAAAGGUAAUAUUGUAAGAAAAAAAUGUGCCCAGUACUAAUUUUUCCCUAAUAGUAGAGUUGUUACCUACUUGGUUGAUGCCAACCUCUCCUCCAGAGGAAAAGGUAAUUAGCCCAUGAGGAUGUUAAGCUGCAGGAUACGUAAGUAAAGAUUUUUAUUAACUGAGCUGAGCUGCUGCAUGCAGGGAACACCAGCAAAAUCUGAGACUCAUUUUUUAAGUGAUUUUAAUUCCAUUAAAAAUACCAACUUCAUUUUAAUGCCACCAAGAAAAUGAAUUUUUUUUCUAUCUUAAGGGGUUUUUCUAUCAUUUUAGAUUUACAAUUCAUGUAACUCAUAAUUAAAUACGUACAACAGCACAGUUGUACAUAAUAGCUAUUGUUGUACAAAGAGCCUCCUGGCAUGUGGAAUUUUCUCUGUUUCAUUAUGUAAGGCCAUUUCUAAUUAUCUGAUGCAGCACUGGGCGGUUUCUCAGCUACACCAUUUGAGGGAAGGGAGCUCACCUCUGGGAUAACUUCUGUUAAAUGUACUUGAAGCAUAAUUCAAAAUGAAUGCUAGCUGCAGUUCAGGUAAUUUCUGUCCUUUAGUGCCUAUAGAAGUUAUUCAGGCAAAGCUGUCGUUGCUGGGAUGCUCAAAUUUAAUUAGUCUGUUCUUUCUCUUAGUUGUCACUUGAAACUUGCACUUUCUUAUUUCCCUACCCAUAGAACAGAGUUUCUAUUUACCUUCAAAAUAAGCAACUAUCUAGUGGGUGGGUAUUUUUAGUGAAGUCCAAAUAAAUGCAGGACUGAAAAUACCAUCAUUAUCUUCUGUUGCUCUGCCACGUCUGUUAUUGACUGAACAGAAAACUAAAAACUAACAAGUUAUGUGUUGAAUUCCAGAGCUUUGGAAGUGGAGAAAUGGAAGAGGAUUAUUACACUAUGUGUGCCCGAGUCUCGAAAGAAAUGUAACCGGGGCUUGUUUUCCUCCCAGCUUAUGUGCUGGGAUUCCUAGAAGUUUACGUUCUUGUUUUGGAGGCCAGUUGUCUUUAAUCAGGAAGACCGUAGAGAAGAGAGGAGCACACACUUCAAGGAGUGGUGUUUGAGUUUUGAGGCAUUUGUGGAACAGCCUUGUUCCUUGUAGCUGCUGCUUGUACACUGGGAGUGAUGGCUGUGCAAAAGCCAGGUAUUUGCCACUCUGAGCUGCUUCUGUCCCAGACAAUUGAAAGAAACAAGUAUAGAGGAUGCAUCUUCUGGGGUCCUGCACACAUCCCUAGCUGGAGGAUACGUACACUUGCCUUUUCCUAAAGUGAACCUACUCCAGUGAGGAUUGCUUUUUUUUGUGUUAUCAUGGAAAGACACCGUAUGUGUUGCUCACAGAACGAUGACUAAAGCAGCUUGAUAACUGCAAAGCUUUUGCCAUGUCCUGUCUCUUAGUAGGUUUUGCAGAGCCAGGCAGCUCUUUGCUAAAUGUGCCGGUUAUGGGAGGUAGAAAGAUCACUUUUCACAAAAAAUAAAUCAUCUUAUUUUCAUCAUGCUACAACUGGAGCAGCUGAGGCUACUUAGUGUAUGUUGUAUCAUUUGCCUGGCUAGCCUUGUGGCUGCAUAUGUUUGAGUUCUGAUGAUGCUUGCUGGGUAUGAUUUUCUGCAAGCAGUUCUCAUUUAUAGUAUUCGAUUUGAGAUGGGCCUUUGGUAUAUUAUGUUCCAGGUGCUUUUCUAGAAUAUGGAUGGUAACUGUGGAUUAAAAGUCUGUAUGAUGCUAUCAAGUUAACAAAUAGCUCAAUGAGAAUUUGUACACCUGUGCCAUUAGCCUCCAUCGUGCUCUUGGCAUUUUGUUUCUGUUCAAUAUUGUGUGAAUCUAAAAUUUUACUGUUUCUUUUGUGUGUGUUUUUAAUUUAUGGAAUAAAUUUUUCUGAGAACCUUU